rnacentral:rRNA from 1 species
AUGACAUACAAUUCUUUCGUAGAAAGUGCUAAUGCUCAGAAAAAUAUGCCUCCGCCAUCUAGUGAUACUGUUGGUUUAUCUGAAAACCCUAGUCCAAUUUUACCUAUUUCAUGGGCACCUCCUAUGCAACAACAAUAUAGUAUGCCAUUGAAUUUUUACCCUAGUCAAACCAACCAGCUUGUGGCUGCACCUACAUAUCCUAAUCCUAUUAUGAGUGUGCCCAAUUCGGCGUCAACGUCGAAUCACUUUGUCACACCACCCAUAGGUGCAAGCAUGUUUGGUCUUCCGCCGAAUUAUGGUUCAGCACCCAUCCCACAAGUUGCACCACUAGCUAGUACUCACUACAAGAAAUAUGUCAACUUGUGA